rnacentral:rRNA from 1 species
UCGUCCGGAGUGACGGGUACACUGGUGGGACCGCCGCUGCUAAAGCGGAGGAAGGAAUGGGCAACGGUAGGUCAGUAUGCCCCGAAUAUCCCGGGCUACACGCGGAGCUACAAUUGGGUUGGUAACAAGUGGGUAUCUACCCCGAAAGGGGACGGGAAUCUCUUAAAGCCAAUCGUAGUUCGGAUUGAGGGCUGCAACUCGCCCUCAUGAAGCUGGAAUCCGUAGUAAUCGCGUUUCAACAGAACGCGGUGAAUACGUCCCUGCUCCUU